UACGAAGGGUGCUAGCGUUGUUCGGAAUUACUGGGCGUAAAGCGCGCGUAGGCGGCUUAACAAGUCAGGGGUGAAAUCCUGGAGCUCAACUCCAGAAUUGCCUUUGAAACUGUUAAGCUUGAGUGUCGGAGGGGAUAGCGGAAUUGCUAAUGUAGAGGUGAAAUUCGUAGAUAUUAGCAGGAACACCGGUGGCGAAGGCGGCUAUCUGGACGACAACUGACGCUGAGGCGCGAAAGCGUGGGGAUCAAACAGG
rnacentral:rRNA from 1 species